UCAGGCCUAACACAUGCAAGUCGAACGAUGAAGCUGGAGCUUGCUCCGGUGGAUUAGUGGCGAACGGGUGAGUAACACGUGAGAAAUCUGCCCUUGACUCUGGGAUAACUGCGGGAAACUGUAGCUAAUACCGGAUAUUUUCCCUAGUGGGCAUCCACUGGGGAAGAAAGAAUUUCGGUCAAGGAUGAUCUCGCGGCCUAUCAGCUAGUUGGUGAGGUAAUGGCUCACCAAGGCGACGACGGGUAGCCGGCCUGAGAGGGUGACCGGCCACACUGGGACUGAGACACGGCCCAGACUCCUACGGGAGGCAGCAGUGGGGAAUAUU
rnacentral:rRNA from 1 species